rnacentral:snRNA from 1 species
GUGCUCGCUUUGGCAGCACAUAUACUAAAAUGGGAACGAUACACAGAACAUUAGCAUGGCCCCUGCACAAGGAUGACAUGAAAAUUCAUGAAGCAUUCCAUAUUUUU